GUGUUUUAUGAAAGUGAGGAAUUCAGUUAGCACUCCCCUUGACAAGAGUGGAAAAAAUUCUAGUGCCCUGUAGCACACAUGUACAUGGAUGCUAUCACGCCCUCUUUAUAGCACCUAACAAUAUUUCUU
ensembl:snRNA U6atac minor spliceosomal RNA